UACGUAGGGUGCGAGCGUUGUCCGGAAUUAUUGGGCGUAAAGAGCUUGUAGGCGGUUUGUCGCGUCUGCUGUGAAAAUCCGGGGCUCAACCCCGGACUUGCAGUGGGUACGGGCAGACUAGAGUGUGGUAGGGGAGACUGGAAUUCCUGGUGUAGCGGUGAAAUGCGCAGAUAUCAGGAGGAACACCGGUGGCGAAGGCGGGUCUCUGGGCCGGUACUGACGCUGAGGAGCGAAAGCGUGGGGAGCGAACAGG
rnacentral:rRNA from 1 species